GACAGAGGGUGCGAACGUUGUUCGGAAUUACUGGGCGUAAAGCGCGUGUAGGCUGUCACGCAAGUCGGGUGUGAAAGCCCGGGGCUUAACCUCGGAGGUGCAUCCAAAACUGCAUGACUUGAGUCCCGGAGGGGGUGGUGGAAUUCCCGGUGUAGAGGUGAAAUUCGUAGAUAUCGGGAGGAACACCAGUGGCGAAGGCGACCACCUGGACGGAGACUGACGCUGAGGUGCGAAAGCGUGGGGAGCAAACAGG
rnacentral:rRNA from 1 species